CCUACGGGAGGCAGCAGUGGGGAAUAUUGCACAAUGGGCGAAAGCCUGAUGCAGCGACGCCGCGUGCGGGAUGACGGCCUUCGGGUUGUAAACCGCUUUCAGCUCUGACGAAGCUUUUGUGACGGUAGGAGCAGAAGAAGCACCGGCUAACUACGUGCCAGCAGCCGCGGUAAUACGUAGGGUGCGAGCGUUGUCCGGAAUUAUUGGGCGUAAAGAGCUUGUAGGCGGCUUGUCGCGUCUGCUGUGAAAACCCGGGGCUUAACCCCGGGCUUGCAGUGGGUACGGGCAGGCUAGAGUGUGGUAGGGGAGACUGGAAUUCCUGGUGUAGCGGUGGAAUGCGCAGAUAUCAGGAGGAACACCGAUGGCGAAGGCAGGUCUCUGGGCCAUUACUGACGCUGAGAAGCGAAAGCG
rnacentral:rRNA from 1 species